ACUAUUGCAACAUAGUUCGCCCGCCCGCCCCCACUCCCAACGUUAUAAACGGAUGAAAAACAGGUUGAUCUGUGUCAUUUCCAGACAGGAGUUCAACUUUAACACAUCUACUGAGAAUAUGGAAAAGUGACAUGAUUUUAUACCCCCGGUUUCUUCUUUGUUCUUUUUCUUAUACGUUAAAAUGUCUAGGGUGUUUAUAAUUGACCACUGCGUGCUUUUCACCCGAUUCUGCUUUUAUUGCGUUUGUUACAGGAGGACGCUGAAGUUUUUUCCCGAGUGCUUGUGUGAAGACAGAGCCGCCGAGUGACUCCAUGGUCUAAACAAAUAUAGUGUGAAUCUGUCAACCGGCGCCACUUCAGAAGUGCUAAAAGAUACAUGGAAGAAACUCGUGGGACUAAGCGAGGGCUUUUGAAGGUUGAAACGUGCGAAUAGAGAGCCAAGUGGAACAGGUCCCCGUGUUUAAACAUGGGAUUUCAUGUUGAAUGUACAUUACAUGCUGGCGCCAAUUCGAAAGAGAGGGACAGGAUUCUCACAUUAAACUUGAUCGGUCAGUCGUGAACCGAGCAGAAGCCCGCACUGUGGGAACUACUACAUGCAUUGCGAUCCCGACACCAAAGGGGUCUAAUUUUGCACACAAACUGCACAACACGCCCACUUACGCUCCCCAAACCCCCAGAAAAUAGGUCACGUGCCUCGAAGGGAAGGUAGAGCAAUCAAUAUCCCCUCCCUCUCCGCUUCCCGAGCAACCAUCAGCGGCCGGUCAAUCAACACGCAAACCGACGGGGUCACGGAGAUACAGAAUGAAACCAGCCAACAACUCAGUGGGGGAAACAUACCCAGAACCUUAAUGCUUCCAACCCCAAAAUAUUCAUUCUUGAUGGCUUUUUUAAACCGCUGAUUGAAGCCUGAUCGCCUGAUCCAUUCCACCCCCUUCAAAAAAAACCUACCCGCUUUUUAAAAAAAAAGAACGUGUUGCAUUGGUAAAGGAUUGAAUGAUUUAAUCAAAACAUAGUAAACGUUUUUUUAAAAGAGCCCUCCCUUCAUCCCAACGCAAGAAAGGAAUGCGUUUGUGCAACUGGAUACUUUCGAUAUGACUGUAUUUAAACAAACCAGUACGGUUUAUUUCAACCACCCCCUCCUGCUUUCCCCCCCCCCCUCACCCCACCGCCGUUUGUUAAUGCGAUACAUGUUGAACAUGGCCCAGUCUCGCUCGGGCUGAUUCCUGCCAUCAAUCGCCCCCUUUUCCUCUCUGCACGCCACGGCUCAUUGUGGGCCCUACUAGAAAUAGCAAACCACAACAAAUACUUCCAGUUCUCCAAUCGCUUCUCAAACCACCACCGACCACCUUUCCCCACAACCUCCCUCUUUUCUAUUGAAACGAAUCACUAAUAUUAAAUCACAGUCUGCACGUUGGAGUUGAAGCGAGUCCCCAGUGGGCUCGGCGAGACUCGUAGAAACUUUUAUCUCCCACUUUUUGUUUGUAAAUUAGAACGCACACAUACAAAAACAAGCCAAUCUCUCUUCUGAGUUUCUGCUACGGCGCCAAAGGAGAUCACACAUAUUUUGAAAGUGUUCUUAAAGUGCUGAGGCAGGGACAUAAACCGAGCCCACAAGAUACCCGUACAAUUUCUCCACCCACUCACUUUCUCAACGCUACCCCAACACAUUAGAGCCCCGCAGCAAAGAUCGCAAUCAUGUGAACCAGCCUUGCUUUUUUUUUACCUUCUUUGAUGAACGGUUAGAAUAGGGAUACGGACUAAAUCCUGCCCGUGGCACCGACAGCAGCAUUUUUCUUUUUAAUGUCAAACCUGAGCCAAAGGAGCAGGCUGACGUCAGGACGGGAAGUUGGAAAUGGACUGAACUGGGACCGAGCACAAGUUCUAUCGCCACUAGGUCCUAGUGCACGUUGAUCUGUGCUUUCUGAAAAGACAGACUUUUAUCUUUAUACCGCCUUUUGGGAUGUUCCGAAGCACUCUGCAUCCAGUGAAAUGCCUCUGACAUGGUGGUCCCCAUUGUGCGAGAGACAUUAAAGCGGGCCUAUUAUGCACAGCAAGCUCCCACAAACAGCAAAUUAUGAAACGGUCAGAUAAUCUGUUUUAUUUUGUGACCAAGGAGCAAUAAUUGUGCUGGGCAGUGCCAAUAGCCACCCUUAAAAACCAACAAACUACAGACACUGUUAGUCUGAAACAAACCCAGUAAAUUAUGGAAAUAUUCAAUAGGUCAGGCAGCAUCUAUGGAGAGAGAAACUAAUGAAUAAGAUAAAUUGGUAAAUUGAAUUGCUGAAUUAGUUUAUUAUUGUCACAUUUACUGAAGUACAGUCAAAUAGCUUUGUUUUGCAUACCAUCUAUACAGAUAAUUUUAAUACAUCAGUGCAUUGAGGUAGUACAAUAAGAGAAUGCAGAAUAAAGUGUUACAAUUAUAGAGAAAGUACAAUGCAGGUAGCCAAUAAGAUGUAAGGGUGACUAAGAGGUCAAGAGUACAUCUUAUCAUACUAGGGAAGAGCCCAGUGGGAUAGAAUCUAUCCUUGAGCUUGGUGAUACAUGUUUUCAGGCCUUUAUAUCUGCUGUUCGAUGGAAGUGGGGAAUAUCUGGGUCAGACGGGGUCUUUGAUUAUGUUGGCUGCUCACCAAGGCAACAAGAAGUGUAGGCAGAGUCCAUGAAGGGGAACACACACAAAAUGCUGGAGGAACUCAGCAGGCCAGGUAGCAUCUUUGGGAAAAAGUACAGUUGAUGCUUCAGGCCAAAACCCUUCAGCAGGACUGGAGAAAAAAAACUGAGGAGUAGAUUUAAAAGGUGGGGGAAGGGGAGAGAGAACCACCAGGUGAUAGAUGAAACUCUGCAAUUUUUUUCAUUAAUCGACUGAGCAGAUGCUCUACCAGGCCAUUAUGAUAGGGUACACAGAUAAAAAAUUCUUUAGCCUACUGAGGAAGCAGAGGCAUCGGUUAGCUUCUUAGCCAUAGAAUCUACAUGGUUGGACCAGGACAAGCUAUUGACAAUGUUCUCUCCCGAGAACAUGAAACUCUCAACCUUCUUGGCCUUAGCACUGUUGAGAUAAGUGGGAGACAUAAAGGUCUUUGAUCUGAAAUAUUAAUUCUGAUUUUCUUUCCAUAAGAUACUGCCUGACCAGUUGAAAGAUUCCAGCACUCUUUAUGAUAACCACCCUACUUUUCUUCAGGAUGGUGCCAUUAGACUUUUACAUUCAGCGGAGAGGGCAUAAGCAGCCCAUUUAUUUCCCUGACUGAAAAGGAGCACCCUCUGCAUUGGGCUGGAAGUUUAUAUGAAGGAAAUCUUAUGUACACAUAUGGUAUAUAUACGUACAUUUAUUUGUUCUCAGUAGAGAUAUACUGUUUGGUAUAUGCGAUUUAACUUUAAAUCAUUUGUAACAUCUGUGGCUUCAUUGGUGAAACUCUCAUCUUUGAGCCAGAAUGCACAUUUGUGUGGUGACUUUCUUGGUCUCAGGAUGUGACAAGGUGCACUGCAGCCAAUGAAAUGCUUUUGAAAUGGUAAUGUAGAGAAUGCAUGCAAUGAAAUCUACCCUGUACUUCAGCACAACAGUGUCACAGGUGUUACCUUCAGAUGCAGUGUUAAAUUUGUCUCACCUCACAGAUAGUUGCAAAGAAUCCCAAGGUACUCACUCAGAGAAGAUCAGGGAACAUAACUUUUACCUAUCACUGAAACAGGCUCUCCAAGUCCUGGUCAUGUUGUUAUCUAUGGGAGUUGCCGUGUAAACUUGAUUGCUCUGUUUCCCACGUUACAGCAACAAUACACUUCACUAUCUGUACAGUGCUUGGAGUUAUGAAUGAUGUUACAGAAAUACAAAUCCUCCUUUCUAAAUCACACCACAACAGCGAAGUGGAAGCUGUGAUUAUACUCAUCGUUAGAUAGUCAUAGAGAAGCAAAGAGUUAUGCAGCACAGAAACAGACCAACUUUGUCCAAGAUGCCUAUUUUCCCACGUUUGGCCCACAUGCCUUCAAACUUGCCUUAUCCAUUGAACAGGAACACUUUAUCUUUCAUAAUGCAGACAAAUUUGGAUGAGCUUAGCUGACAUGAGAACAAUUCCAGGGAACUGAUUGCCACAGAAGUAAGGAUAUUUGACAAUGAAGUAAGAUAACAUGGCCACAUACCACACUGCAACUUCAGAGAACUGAUUGGAAGAGAAAUAUGAGCAAAGUCGAAGUCAAGUUCAUUGUCAUCUGCACAAGUACAUGUGUGCCCAGAUACAAUGAAAAACUCACUUAUCGCCUCAUCACAGGCACAGAGCAUCAGAGACACAACAUUCACAGAAAAAAAUAUAAAUUAUGAAAAAACAAAAAAGUCCACUGUAAUGCAAAUUGAUCAUAUUGUUGCUAUACUAAUAAACCAUGUAUUCAAGAUUCAAGGUAGUUUACUGUAAUUCUUUAGUACACAAGUGUAAAGGACAAUAAAAUGAUUGUUACUCCAGAUCCAA